GCGCAAGUGCAUGAGGCGAGAUUGCAACAGCCGUUUCUUGUAUGCACACAAUGGCGCAAUUUCCGAUCGAAGAACUCGGCGCGCCACAAAAACUUCUCCCACAACAUUAGGUUCUCACAAAAAUCCUCCCACCCACCAUGUUGGGCAAAUGUUGGGCAAAACGACCUGUUGCUUUCUUACUGCUGUUUCUAGGUGCUCUCAAGUGUCCCGGCUGCGAUAUUGAGAGCCUCUUGAUUCCUGUCUUUCAAUCCCGCCCUCCGGCCCGGCCCAUUUUCCAAUCCUCCCGGUUGAUCCUAGACUGGAGUUACAACUUCCACAGAGAGAGAGAGAGAUAGCAGGGUUAUCUGUUGCGCCGAAAGGUUGACUCGUGACAGGUUACCGACGCCUGUCCUUUGGCUCCCCUCUUGGUGCGUUGCAGCCAAGUCGUCAUGCAAGCCUAACCGGUUCCUAGUCAAGCGCUCGCGUUUAUGCCGCUCGAGGAGCCGCACUCGGCUGCCGGCUGCGCAAAAUCAGGAAGGUCGGUCCCGAUUACCGUUUGGAUGGUAGAUCACCAAAAAAUCACCCAGUGGAAGUCGAGAAGUCACCCCAGAAGAAGGCAGUGGCAAACCGCUUCCUUUGUGUUCCCUGAAAAUCCGCGCAGAGCAUUUCCAGUGAAAAGAAAAGACUACAGGAUUUCACCAUAAAUUGCUAAGAAUUUUUUAAAUCUAUUUAAUAGCUUCCUGUCUUCUCAGUAAAACAUGAAACCUGCUUUAGUCGAUUACUGUAUUCUAGUCCUCUCAUUUAUCUGUGUAUUCAAAUCAG